UACGGGGGGGGGCAAGCGUUGUUCGGAAUUACUGGGCGUAAAGGGCGCGUAGGCGGCCUUCUAAGUCGAACGUGAAAUCCCCGGGCUCAACCCGGGAACUGCGUCCGAUACUGGGAGGCUUGAAUCCGGGAGAGGGAUGUGGAAUUCCAGGUGUAGCGGUGAAAUGCGUAGAUAUCUGGAAGGAACACCGGUGGCGAAGGCGGCAUCCUGGACCGAGAGUCGACGCUGAGGCGCGAAAGCUAGGGGAGCAAACAGG
rnacentral:rRNA from 1 species